UCCUAGCCUCAGUUUCCAUAUCUGUCAAAAUGAGGUGGUUGGAUUAGAUGGCCUCUAAGGUUCUUUCUAUGUCAAAAGCUGUGACUUUGAGAGUAAUGGAGUAUUUUGAUUUUAAAGAUCUUGCCAUAAGCCCCCAGUGACUCCAUUAUUUCCAUUGUGAGUCAUGGCUCUGGAGAUGAGGACCUCUUUUCUUAUUGGUCAGCUUCCUUCCCCACAGUGGACCCCAUGGCUGCUGCCUCUGUGUCUGCUCUUCCAUCUCUUUUUUAAUUUCUGCUGUGGGCAAAGAGCACUUUGGAUUUCUCCCAUCAUCUGAUCCUCUCAAAUAUUUCCCUUUCAUUAAUGUUUCCUCAGGAGUUCAGCAGCACCCCAACAAGGCAAGAAAUGAAUAUCUAAUAAGGGAAAUGAGAAGAAAGCUGUUUGGAAGGAGGGGGCCUUUCCUGUUGCCCACGGCGACUCUACUUGGUAAGAGCUGGGUCAGAAGUUUGGUGCCCAUUUCUGGACAAUGGUCAGCUCAUGCCUCAUGCAGUCGAUGUGUGUGUUCCUGAGACUUGUGUGUAAAGAUCAUUUAAACACAAAUUGAUCUUUGGUAAACUGAACCAUAAUCUCCCACUGGUCUCCAUUAUCCUUUCAGCAAUGGCUCAUCUUCCUCUCUGAUUGAUUUUCCAUUGGCAGUGGCUCUCAAGGCUUUGGCUUGCAGCUUCUCUGUUUCCAGUCUCUCCCCAGUAGUUAAUGGUCUGUAAACUAACACUUAAAUGUGCUGCCGGAGAUGCCUACCCCCCAACCCCCAGUGCUAUUAUGAGUAAUGGCAAGAGUCCUUUUAGAAUAAUCAUGUAGUAAAUAUUCUGUUUUGUCCAUAUGGCUUUUCAGACAUUGACUGGCCUGGUGGGCUAUUUCUAUCAG
rnacentral:lncRNA from 1 species